rnacentral:rRNA from 1 species
AAGGAAAGAGGGAGGCAGGCCUAACACAUGCAAGUCGAGCGGAUGAAGGGAGCUUGCUCCUGGAUUCAGCGGCGGACGGGUGAGUAAUGCCUAGGAAUCUGCCUGGUAGUGGGGGAUAACGUCCGGAAACGGGCGCUAAUACCGCAUACGUCCUGAGGGAGAAAGUGGGGGAUCUUCGGACCUCACGCUAUCAGAUGAGCCUAGGUCGGAUUAGCUAGUUGGUGGGGUAAAGGCCUACCAAGGCGACGAUCCGUAACUGGUCUGAGAGGAUGAUCAGUCACACUGGAACUGAGACACGGUCCAGACUCCUACGGGAGGCAGCAGUGGGGAAUAUUGGACAAUGGGCGAAAGCCUGAUCCAGCCAUGCCGCGUGUGUGAAGAAGGUCUUCGGAUUGUAAAGCACUUUAAGUUGGGAGGAAGAGCAGUAAGUUAAUACCUUGCUGUUUUGACGUUACCAACAGAAUAAGCACCGGCUAACUUCGUG